AUUGAACGCUGGCGGCAUGCCUUACACAUGCAAGUCGAACGGUAGCAGGUCUUCGGAUGCUGACGAGUGGCGAACGGGUGAGUAAUACAUCGGAACGUGCCUAGUAGUGGGGGAUAACUACUCGAAAGAGUGGCUAAUACCGCAUGAGAUCUACGGAUGAAAGCAGGGGAUCGCAAGACCUUGUGCUACUAGAGCGGCCGAUGGCAGAUUAGGUAGUUGGUGGGAUAAAAGCUUACCAAGCCGACGAUCUGUAGCUGGUCUGAGAGGACGAUCAGCCACACUGGGACUGAGAAACGAACCAGACUCCGACGGGAGGCAGCAGUUGGGAAUUUUGGACAAUGGGCGAAAGCCUGAUCCAGCAAUGCCGCGUGCAGGAUGAAGGCCUUCGGGUUGUAAACUGCUUUUGUACGGAACGAAAAGCCCCGGGUUAAUACCCUGGGGUCAUGACGGUACCGUAAGAAUAAGCACCGGCUAACUACGUGCCAGCCGCCGCAUAA
rnacentral:rRNA from 1 species